AAUUUUGAAGAGUUCUUUCUCUCUCUGAAACUCUCUCUAGAAGGUUCCACCUAACCGACUCAUCUUCAUCUUCUUUUUCGAUCUUCGCCUGGAUUCCUUGAUGUUUUCAUGGUAUCAGAGUGGGACGAUAAUCCGACGAUACUCUCCCGUAUUUUGUUAUCCCAGUCGAAAUCUCGUUGGAAAAUUUUUGGGUGUUUCUGAGAUAUUUGGUCAGUGAUGAUUUCGAUCAAAAUCGGGUGUUGAUCUGAGACCU
rnacentral:lncRNA from 1 species